UGACUUGAGGUUUUUGAAACUUCUUUUUGAAUUAGUUAUGCAACUGUUUGACUCAUUCAACUGGUUAAAUCGUGGUUUCAACCGGUUAAAUGUGUAUUUUCAUAACAUUUUUUUGAAAACUUGUUUUAACUGAUUCACUGAUUAAAACUGCCUUGAACGACUGCAUUUCAAGUGCUAUAAAUAUAGCCUCUCUUUCAAAGCAAAAUACACAUUCAAAUACAACAAGUAUUGAUACAGAUUUGAGAUCAAAGAAAGAGAUUUGUUUUAGGAGUUUUUCAAAGUGCAAGAUUGUUGUUCAAGCUUUGUUGUGGUAACAAGUUCUGAUCAUAGGAGUUUCAUGUAUUGUACAAAUUCAGGUGUUUUCUAUCCUUGUCUAGAUACUUGUAGUAGUACUUCUUUAAACUGUUGUGUGUGUUUGAAAUCCUGUAAAGAAAGAGGUUGUUCUGUCUUGAGGUGUUUGAUAUUUCAAAGAGGGUGAGUGAAUCUUCUGGGUUGCAAGGUUACCUCUUUGUGUGUGUGUUGUAAUCUGGUUUUGAUUACUAGUGGAACUCAGAGGUUGUUCUGAGAACUAGAUGUAGCUCAUGUGAGAGUGAACCAGUAUAAACCUAAUAUGUAAAUCUCUCCUUCUCUCAAACUCUCCAUAACUGUUUGAUAAUUUCAUUUUUGCUGCUGGUAUAAACAACCGAUUAAAACGAAGGUUUAACUGGUUAAAAUUCUGAUAAUUGUUUCUGUUGGAUUGUUUGAUUGCUUUCCUUAAGUGUUUAUCUAGUUUGUUUGAUAAAGAUUCAUUCUAAAUCAAGUAUUUGCGAAAAUAUUUCAUAAAACAAUUCACCCCCUCUUAUUUAAACCAUCAAUUCUAACAAUUGGUAUCAGAGCUAGGUUCUUGAAAAAUACUCAAAUUCUUGUUUCUGUUUUUUUGAAGAAGAAAAAAUCGAUGGCUGACAAAAUGCCUUUUGGGGAAGGUGCUUCCAUAAACAGGCCACGACUGUUUUGUGGGGUUAAUUACCAGUUUUGGAAGGUGAGAAUGAAAAUCUUUAUGCACUCAACUGAUAAGGGUAUUUGGGAAACGAUUGAAAAUGGUCCAUUUAUACGUCAAGUCAAAAGAGAUGAGGUUUUAAUUGAUAAACCUUCAUCUGAGUGGACUGAGGUUGAAAGUAAAAAAGCCAAGUUUGAUUGGAUUUCCAAAAAUAUAAUAACCUCUGCUUUGAGCUAUGAUGAAUUUUUCAGGGUUUCACAGUGUAGCUCUGCAAAGGAAAUGUGGGACAUCCCAGAGGUCACACAUGAAGGAACAAAUGAUGUCAAGCGAGCUAGGAAGCAUGCUCUGAUUCAAGAGUAUGAACUCUUCAUAAUGCAGAAGGGAGAAACCAUCUAUGAUGUGCAUAAAAGGUUUUCUCACAUUGUAAAUCAUUUGAUGAGUCUUGGUAAGACGUUUGAUAAGGAGGAGCUGAACAUCAAGAUACUGAAGUGUCUUGAUAGAUCAUGGCAGCCAAAGGUCAUUGCCAUCUCAGAAUCCAAAGAUUUAACAUUUAUGACUGUUGCCGCAUUGUUUGGUAAAUUAGGGAACAUGAGCUUGAAAUAAAUAGGCUUAUUGUCCAAGAAAGUGAGGACAAUCACAACAAGCGCAUAACACUCAAAGCUUGUAAUCACAAACAACAACCAGACUCUAGUGGGAGUGAUGAAGACACCAUGAGUCUUCUAUCAAGGAAAUUCAGCAAGUUCUUGAAGAAAAGACAAGCUUCAAAGAGGUAUGGUUCUAAAAAACCUAGUGAAUUUAAUACUAACAAGUACACUUGCUAUGGCUGUGGAGAACAGGGUCAUAUCAAGGUUGAAUGCCCCAAUAAUGAAGUCAAAGAAAGGCAGACUUUAAGAAAGAGAAAAAGGUAAAAGCCAAGAAGGCCUAUGUAGCAUGGGAUGACAAUGAAGUCUCAUCCUCAAGCUCUUCAGAUGAUGAAGAAGCAAAUCUAUGCCUUAAAGCUUCAGUAACAAGUAGCAUGAGUUUUUCAUCCUCAAGUAAAGGUAACAAUUAUUAUCAAUUGCUUUAUGCUUUUAAUGAAACUCAUGAAGUGGCUAACCGAUUGACACUUUUUCUCAACCGGUUGAAAGGUCUAAAUAACUGGUUGGAAAACAGAGUCAAGUCUUUAGAGGAAGAGCUUAGCAAAACAAAAGAAGAUUUUGAAAACCUUGAUUUAGUUUACAAAAACUCUUCUUGCAAUUGUGAAUCAAAAGUUUGUGAAAAUUGUGAAAAUCUUGAAAGAAAGAUUCACUAUCUUUUGAAAACCUUGGACAAAAUUACAACUGGAAAAUCCAAUUUUGAAGAUGUUCUUGCAUCUCAAAAAUGUGUUUUUGGAAAAGCUGGUUUAGGGUUCUAUCCUCAAAGCAAAGAAAAUAAGAUUUCAAAACCUUUUACAUUUCAAGUGCUAUAAAUAUAGCCUCUCUUUCAAAGCAAAAUACACAUUCAAAUACAACAAGUAUUGAUACAUAUUUGAGAUCAAAGAAAGAGAUUUGUUUUUGAAAGGAGUUUUUCAAAGUUCAAGAUUGUUGUUCAAGCUUUACUGUGGUAACAAGUUCUGAUCAUAGGACUUUCCUGUAUUGUGCAAAUUCAAGUGUUUUCUAUCCUUGUCUAGAUACUUGUAAUAGUAAUUCUUUAAAAUGUUGUGUUUGUUUAAAAUUUUGUAAAGACAGAGGUUGUUUUGUCUUGAGGUGUUUGAUAUUUCAAAGAGGGUGAGUGAAUCUUCUGG
rnacentral:lncRNA from 1 species